rnacentral:rRNA from 1 species
GAGGAAUAUUUGGUAAAGGGGGAGAGCCUGGACCAGCCCAGACGCGGGAAAGGAGAAUGCCCUUUGGGUUUUAAAAAUCUUUUAUUAAGGAAUAAAAAAGCCUUACUGUUGGGCAUUUCAAGGUCUUUAUGAAUAAGCAACGGGUAAAUCCGUGCCAGCAGCCGCGGUAAUACGGAGGAUGCGAGCGUUAUCCGGAUUUAUUGGGUUUAAAGGGUGCGCAGGCGGGCUUUUAAGUCAGCGGUGAAAUCUGGACGCUUAACGUCCAAACUGCCGUUGAAACUGGGAGUCUUGAGUAUGGAUGAAGUAGGCGGAAUUCGUUGUGUAGCGGUGACAUGCAUAGAUAUAACGAGGAACUCCGAUUGCGUAGGCAGCUUACUAAGCCAUAACUGACGCUCAUGCACGAAAGCGUGGGGAUCAAACA